GAUGAACGCUGGCGGCGUGCCUAAUACAUGCAAGUCGAGCGAAUGGAUUAAGAGCUUGCUCUUAUGAAGUUAGCGGCGGACGGGUGAGUAACACGUGGGUAACCUGCCCAUAAGAUUGGGAUAACUCCGGGAAACCGGGGCUAAUACCGGAUAACAUUUUGAACCGCAUGGUUCGAAAUUGAAAGGCGGCUUCGGCUGUCACUUAUGGAUGGACCCGCGUCGCAUUAGCUAGUUGGUGAGGUAACGGCUCACCAAGGCAACGAUGCGUAGCCGACCGGGGAGGGUGAUCGGCCACACUGGGACUGAGGCACGGCACAGACUCCUACGGGAGGCAGCAGUAGGGAAUCUUCCGCAAUGGACGAAAGUCUGACGGAGCAACGCCGCGUGAGUGAUGAAGGCUUUCGGGUCGUAAAACUCUGUUGUUAGGGAAGAACAAGUGCUAGUUGAAUAAGCUGGCACCUUGACGGUACCUAACCAGAAAGCCACGGCUAACUACGUGCCAGCAGCCGCGGUAA
rnacentral:rRNA from 1 species